AUCACUUUUAUUACAGUCUUAUUACAGUAUAUCAUUAUAAUUGCUCUAUUAUUAUUAAUUUUUAUUAAUCUUAAAUUGUGCCAGAUUUGUAUGUUAAUGGAUACAUAUAUAUAGUCAACAGGAGCAUAUAUAUAGUUUGGUACUGUUGGUAGUUUCAGGCAUGCAGUCAAGGUCCUGGAACACAAUUCUCCUGAGGAUCAGGGUUUUCUACUGUACUUGACAUAACUAAUAGUUAUCUACAUAUUAAUGGGCGGGUUAAUGAUGUCAUAUGCUUCGCAGUUACAAAGAAGGUUUUGCUGCCCCAUUUUACCAUUAGCCUAAUUGAAGCUUAGCUAAAGCAUAAGACACACAUGUUCAAUGUCACAAAAAAAUCUGUAAUGUAAGGAAGCUGGAUUUGAACCUAGGUCCUUUGACACUACAGUCCUUGCACAUACACAGCAUGCAACAGGACCUGCAUUCUUGAUGUGUACCAGCAAGUGAAAUACUGUGAAAAUAAUGGCUUUACUGAAUACUUCGAAGAGAAGCAGUUUAGAGGGGUUAUACUUUAUUAAUUUUAUAAAUAACCCAGACAUUUUUGCUGUAUAAAACAGAGGUUGGGCAGGGGAGGAUGAUCCACAAGCUUUCUUGGCCAGCUGCCAGUGGCACAAUUUUUAGCUUGGUCUUCUGUCUGCCCCUUCUUCAUCUUUUUGCCUACCUGUUGUUACUUCCAUUAUGAAGCCAUGUUGAGGUGUUAUUUACAUCAGACAUAUUGGUUAAACAUAAGCCACAUUGGCUGGGGAACUAUUUAAUCUCUUUGAGAAAGUCUAAUGAGACUCAGAUUAUUUCUCCACUCUUCCAAUUUUUGAUGAAAUUUUACCAUUUAUGAUUUGUUUCCCACAGUAAAUGCAAAGCAAAAAGACAUUUAAUGAAGAAUAUUAAUAAAGCUAUGACCAUUUCAGGCUGAAUUUUGUGGUAUCCUGUUUCUGUGAAGAGAUACCUGGAAAAAUUGUCUGGCCAUGUCUUUAAUUUUCUUGCUUCAAACAUGAGAAGUCUUCAAAAAGUUCAUGAGAAUGCAUAUUUGGAAAAAACUAUGCAUUGAUUAAAAAAAAACCUUGCACCAAAAUAAAAUUAGGUUUUAAUUCCAUUUUCCAUGAACUUUUUGAACUAUCUUCAGAUAUGUAGUAUCAGUAUUCACAUUUUAAAUAAGAAUUUGUUUCAUUGCCAUUAUUUUAAAAUAAACUGGAAAAUAUAUGUUUAUAUUGUAAAUGGUUAUAUAAGUUAAAAUUCAGUAAAUAGUAAAAAAUUGCAUAACUGUUCACCCUUUAUCUUUCAACAAACUUUUAAUUGUUUUCUUCCAAAUGUUUUCCCUUUGCAUCUGAAUUCUGCAUAGAUUAUAUCCACAAUAUGUAUAACACUUUGUAUCUGCUGAACAUUAUACUACAAAUACUCAUUUUGUUACGUAAUUCCAAUGUCAUAGUAAUAUAUGUCUUUGUGUGAAUCUAUUGAGUGGUUAGUUGGAUGAUAAUUUUUUAACUCUUCAUUGUCCAUUGAACAUUGAUUGAGUUGACAAUUUUUACUGCUGUUAUUGAUCUUGUGGAAAACAUCUGUGGAUUAUAGCUUCUGACCAUUUCUUGGGUAGCAAAGUGUUUGGGUAAAAACUCGGUACAGUUUUAGGGUUAGUAGCCCAUGCCUCCACAGUGUUCUCCCAAAGGUAUUGUAUAGCUCAAAAUUCCAGUAGCAAUAUUCAGUGUCAUUUUUUAUACCAUCUCCAUCAAUAUCCUGGUGUACACAUUGUAUGGAAGAUUUUUAAAAAUAUGUUUGUGAUUUUUAAAAAGUGAAGAAUAGUACCUCAUCACAUUCUUUUUCGUACUUCCCACUUUAAAUAUUAGAGUGAAGAAGGAGCCCCACAGGAAGGAAUUCUGGAAGCUAUGCCCAUGGAUCCUGACAGUGAAGCUUAUGAAAUGCCCUCGGAGGAAGGGUAUCAAGACUAUGAACCUGAAGCCUAAGAAAGACCUUUGCUCCGUUGCUUCAGAUCUGCUGACAGAUGUUCCAUCCUGUGCAAGUGCUCAGUUCCAAUGUGCCCAGUCAUGACAUUUUCUCAGAGUUUGUACAGUGUAUCUUGAAGUCUUCCAUCAGCAGUGAUUGACGCAUCCGCACCUGCCCCCACCCAGCAUCUCGGUGCUUCCCUCUCACUGAAGUGAAUAUAUGGUAGCAGGGUCCUUGUGUGCUGUGGAUGUUGUGGCUUCAAAUCUAAAAUGUUAAAGCAAAUUAAAAACACCUAAGUGACUAUCA